CAGCACCUGUGGCAGUGCCGUAUACAUUAAUAGAGGCUUUAGAAGUAUUUACUGAAUUGAAUCAAUNUGGUGUUACAGGAAAUGGGCCAAUGGAAUGCUGAAAACAGCUGAGGGGAUCGGGAGGGCUUGCUAAGAAGAAGGGAGGAAGCACAUAGGCAUUACAGCUGUCAGAGGAAAUUCAAAACAAAGAGAAAAAUGAGAAGAUUUUCUACUUCCUUCUAAAAUCUCCCUUAUAAUCAUUUAGGUGAGAGUUGCAUAACCAGGUCACAGAGGACUGAGAAGCCAGUAGUUGGAACAUCCUGUAGCCAGAAGACUUCAGCCUAUGACACCCAAACCUCAGAAUGUACUGCACCGUUUGCAUCAGAUAGAUGACUCUGGUGGCGAUAGCCUUGCCAAUGGCCCCAGUAACAAACACAUUCAGAGAAGAAAGCUGUGCCUGCUUCUUCAAGAGUUGUCCCUUGAGCAUUCCUAGGACAUGAAACGGAUGGCCAAGAUGAAGACCAGCAAUGGGGCAGGAAGCGUACUAGUCCAAAGAGGAAGGGCUCCUUCACCGGGCAUGAUUUGAGGAAGGCUUUUAAGAUGCCCUUAUAGUUGGUGGAUGCCAUGUCUUCAUUUCUGAACUUGGCCCCCUGGGCUAUCUGGAUGUUCACUAUCCACAGCAGUAGGGUCAGCAGCACAUUCAUCACAUCUGCAACAAAUCCAAUGACCAAAGCCUUUCUGGUGGGGAAAAACGGCAUUGGAAUUUUAUUUGGAAAAGAAGAAUCAUUUUUUUUGCUAACCCUUUCUUAGUCAUUUGUUCAUGAAGGACAAGAAAGUGACUGAAGUAUUCACUGCAUUUUAGAAUAUAUGAAAUAAUCCCAAUAAAAUAUAUUCCAAAAUUAUAAAUGGGGCCUUU
rnacentral:lncRNA from 1 species